rnacentral:lncRNA from 1 species
GACCCACGACCGGCUGGUCACUUGCUGCCGCCUCGCAAAGGCGCAUCUCUAGUCCAGUGGUGAGCUGCGGCCGGGUCGCUGCAACUCGCUCCAGGACUCGGGACUCGUGGCCUUGGUGUCCCUAGCGGAGCCCUCGGUGUGCCGCCUGCAGGCUCUUUUUUUGAAGAAAGCAGGGAGGGAAUGGCCUUGUGAGAGACUCCAGGAGCAAAGAGCGACCCUCACAAGGCCCAAGUCCUCCCAGAGCUCAGGGAAGCUGUCGCUUCUGACGGAAGAAGGGAGAGAAAGCUCCCUCCUGUGUGUCCCUGGUGGUCUAGUGGCUAGGAUUCGGCGCUUUCACCGCCGCGGCCCGGGUUCGAUUCCCGGUCAGGGAAUUGUUUUACACUGGCCGCCCUCCCGCAGGAAUCUUCCUUCACUACGCUGUCAGCUGGCCUGCUCCAAGGGCCAGAAGCAGAACAGUCUCCGCAGCGAGGGGCAAAGCCGGGCGAAGGAGGGCAAGUCCUAGUGGACCACCUCUCACGACACACCGCUCCUAUUUAUCUCCGUGUCCGUCAUCCGCGGGAGCAGCUUUAGAGAGCGACGGAGCGUCUCGCUCCGGUGUACACAGCCGGGCAGAGAUGCCAGACCCCAUGGAGCUGCACCCAAUAAGCCCACACUCUUUCCCGUCGCCACCCCGGAGGCGCCUAUCGGGCUGAGCUGCGAAUAACUAAGAGAGAGGCCAAGCCAAGUCGUGGCGUUUGUGGCAGCCCCGGACACGGGCACCAGCCAGUCAGCGGAGCCUCCUCACCUCCGUUGCCAGCGAAGGCGCUCGUUAGGCCUUGGGAAGAGGCGACCGGAGGCGAUGCCCGUGAAUUUGUUAGGGGGGUAAGCGGCGGGUGAGGUCCUCGAGGGCGGUCCCGUUUGCUGAUUGAGCGGUAGAGGGAGGCGAUGUUCGCUGACCCAACAAGGACAGCAGGUGGAGUAGGCACAGAUGGAAAACUGCUGCCGGUGCCCUAAGCAGAAGGCAGGUGGAAAAAUCAGCACUAGGACGUCGAAGCGAUGGUACCACAGUCAAAUCCCACGAUGUCUACACUCUACCAAGCACUUGCGCACGCUCCCCCUUUUCCAUUCAGUACUCCCAAGAGGGGUUCGGAAGAACCCCGAGUCCACUGUAAGCUCAGGGGAGAGCGGGAGCCAGGGAGGUGAAGUGCACAGACUCGGCAGAGGCGGCGGGCAGAACCGCGGGGGGGAGAGACCGUGGUCACGAAGGGGGUUCUCCCAGAGUGAAGCUUCUUCAUCUCACUCUAGAGUUGCUGAUCCCUGUGAUUUCCUCCAUGUGGGAAACGGUGUUUGUGCUAGAAGAGGCUGCGCUCUUUACCUGACAUAACGGGGUUCAAGACUGACAUCGCCUCACGCCCACCCGAAAACGUUUACAUGGCUUCCUUGUCUCUUUUUUUUUCUGUCCUAAAGUCGCCUCAUCUUCACAUCCCCUCAUUUUUUCUUCCACACUCGAGAGUGUCUCUCUCUCUCAUUAAAAGCUCCACCAAAUAUUUGAAAUAUCUCAACCA